rnacentral:rRNA from 1 species
UACGGAGGGGGCUAGCGUUGUUCGGAAUUACUGGGCGUAAAGGGUUCGUAGGUGGCUGGCUAAGUCAGACGUGAAAUCCCUCAGCUCAACUGGGGAACUGCGUCUGAGACUGGUCAGCUUGAGUGCAGGAGAGGAACGCGGAAUUCCAGGUGUAGCGGUGAAAUGCGUAGAUAUCUGGAGGAACACCGGUGGCGAAGGCGGCGUUCUGGACUGCAACUGACACUGAGGAACGAAAGCCAGGGGAGCAAACGGG